rfam:Muricauda ruestringensis DSM 13258, complete genome.
CAACCUCUGACGAAAUCCGUGAAAGUUG